CUUUAAGAAAAAGAACAAAUUACUGUAUCAUUAAUUAUUAAGACAGAGAAUUUUUGAUUCUAUUUAUUGUCAUAAUUUGCAUAUUAUGUAUCCAAUUAAAAAACUUUGUAAAAAAAUCUUUUCUUGGAUAGAAAGUGUUAUAAUAAAAAUAAUUAAAAAUAUUGGAGAAUAUAAAAGAAAAUUUGAAGUUGAAUUAUAUUUCGUGCUUUUUGCUGUCAUGUUUUAUUGUCGCUUUUCAUGUAUCACCAUCAUUUGUGUAUUAUUUCCAAAUGAUCUUGAAAUACCAGUCAAUAAAAUCCAUCCAUCUGUUUACAAGUGAAACAGGAGAUAUACAGGAAUGCCUCACCUAGUACUGUUAAUUGGUUCCUCUAAAAUACUGCAUUAAAUGAAUCUGCACUGAGUGAAACGUUAUUUCUAUAGGAAAAUAAGUAAUUCAUUUCUAUCAAAUUUUGUUAUAGCAAAAAUAUUUGUAUAUUUACCUAAAAUU
rnacentral:lncRNA from 1 species